rnacentral:tRNA from 1 species
GGAGAAGUAGGCUCAGGCUUGGCAGAGCGCUACGUUUGGGACGUAGUGGUCGCAGGUUCAAAUCCUGUCUUCUUCACCA